rnacentral:rRNA from 1 species
AGCGAACGCUGGCGGCAGGCCUAACACAUGCAAGUCGAACGAUCCUUCGGGAUAGUGGCGGACGGGUGAGUAACACGUGGGAACGUGCCCUUUGGUUCGGAACAACUCAGGGAAACUUGAGCUAAUACCGAAUGUGCCCUUCGGGGGAAAGAUUUAUCGCCAUUGGAGCGGCCCGCGUCUGAUUAGCUAGUUGGUGAGGUAAUGGCUCACCAAGGCGACGAUCAGUAGCUGGUCUGAGAGGAUGAUCAGCCACACUGGGACUGAGACACGGCCCAGACUCCUACGGGAGGCAGCAGUGGGGAAUCUUGCGCAAUGGGCGAAAGCCUGACGCAGCCAUGCCGCGUGGAUGAUGAAGGUCUUAGGAUUGUAAAAUUCUUUCACCGGGGGCGAUAAUGACGGUACCCGGAGAAGAAGCUCCGGCUAACUUCGUGCCAGCCGCCGCUGUAAGAC